CGGAUGUGAAACCCUCGGGGCAGGACCACCAAGUCCAAGGAGGGAUGUUGGGGCAUUGAAUGAAAUGACCACUGGUUUGAGAAAAGCAAGAGUCGAAAGUACACAUUGGGACUCUGCCAUGAAUGGAGUAAAAGACCUGGGAGACACCAGCAGAUUCCAUCCUGUAAGCUGGUAGGCAGUCUGAAAGCUUGAUGGGAUUCCAGUGUGAUAUGGAAGCAAGAACAUUCUGCAGUCCUAAAAUUCACCCAGGAGACAGAGGCU